AGUGAACGCUGGCGGUAGGCCUAACACAUGCAAGUCGAACGGCAGCACAGUAAGAGCUUGCUCUUACGGGUGGCGAGUGGCGGACGGGUGAGGAAUACAUCGGAAGCUACUUUUUCGUGGGGGAUAACGUAGGGAAACUUACGCUAAUACCGCAUACGACCUACGGGUGAAAGCAGGGGAGCUUCGGACCUUGCGUGAUUGAAUGAGGCGAUGUCGGAUUAGCUAGUUGGCGGGGUAAAGGCCCACCAAGGCGACGAUCCGUAGCUGGUCUGAGAGGAUGAUCAGCCACACUGGAACUGAGACACGGUCCAGACUCCUACGGGAGGCAGCAGUGGGGAAUAUUGGACAAUGGGCGCAAGCCUGAUCCAGCCAUACCGCGUGGGUGAAGAAGGCCUUCGGGUUGUAAAGCCCUUUUGUUGGGAAAGAAAAGCAGCAGGUUAAUACCCCGCUGUUCUGACGGUACCCAAAGAAUAAGCACCGGCUAACUUCGUG
rnacentral:rRNA from 1 species